UUAAGUUCAGCGGGUAUUCCUACCUGAUCCGAGGUCAACCAUAUGAUGUUUGGGGGGUUUUACGGCAGGGGCCGCGCCAGUCCGCCCUAAGCGAGGUGGUAAAACUACUGCGCUCGGGGUCCUGGCGAGCUCGCCAAUGGAUUUGGGGGCCUACCAGCCGGGGCUGGUAGCGCCCCAACACCAAGCAAAUACAUGCUUGA
rnacentral:misc_RNA from 1 species